GUCGUGUCGUCAGCUCGUGUCGUGAGAUGUUGGGUUAAGUCCCGCAACGAGCGCAACCCCUACGUUUAGUUGCUAACAGGUGAAGCUGAGCACUCUAGACGAACUGCCGUUGACAAAACGGAGGAAGUGGGGAUGACGUCAAAUCAUCAUGCCCCUUAUGUUCUGGGCUACACACGUGCUACAAUGGCCGGUACAGACGGAGGCGAAGCCGCGAGGCGGAGCAAAUCCGAAAAAAGCCGGUCUCAGUUCGGAUUGCAGGCUGCAAUUCGCCUGCAUGAAGUCGGAAUCGCUAGUAAUCGCAGGUCAGCAUACUGCGGUGAAUACGUUCCCGGGCCUU
rnacentral:rRNA from 1 species